CUACGUGCCAGCAGCCGCGGUAAUACGUAGGUCCCGAGCGUUGUCCGGAUUUAUUGGGCGUAAAGCGAGCGCAGGCGGUUAGAUAAGUCUGAAGUUAAAGGCUGUGGCUUAACCAUAGUACGCUUUGGAAACUGUUUAACUUGAGUGCAAGAGGGGAGAGUGGAAUUCCAUGUGUAGCGGUGAAAUGCGUAGAUAUAUGGAGGAACACCGGUGGCGAAAGCGGCUCUCUGGCUUGUAACUGACGCUGAGGCUCGAAAGCGUGGGGAGCAAACAGGAUUAGAUACCCUGGUAGUCCACGCCGUAAACGAUGAGUGCUAGGUGUUAGACCCUUUCCGGGGUUUAGUGCCGCAGCUAACGCAUUAAGCACUCCGCCUGGGGAGUACGACCGCAAGGUUAAAACUCAAAUGAAUUGACGGGGGCCCGCACAAGCGGUGGAGCAUGUGGUUUAAUUCGAUGCAACGCGAAGAACCUUACCUGGUCUUGAC
rnacentral:rRNA from 1 species